rnacentral:snRNA from 1 species
AUGUUAAAGGUGUAUGGGAAUCCAUACUUCCCAUAACUAAGAAGGUGGCUUUCCCAGGGUGAGGCGCCUCCAUUGUACUCCGGGUGUGCUCACCCCUGUGAUUUCCCCAGAUGUGGGAAACUCCACUGUAUCAUCUGCGGUGGUUGGAGACUGUGCUUACUCCAU